CGUCAAAUCAUCACGGCCCUUAUGUCUUGGGCUACACACGUGUUACAAUGGUUACUACAGUGGGCUGCCAUCUGGCAACAGAGAGCAAAUCCAUAAAGGUAAUCCCAGUUCGGAUCGGAGUCUGCAACUCGACUCUGUGAAGUUGGAUUCGCUAGUAAUCGUAUAUCAGCAAUGAUACGGUGAAUACGUUCCCGGGCCUU
rnacentral:rRNA from 1 species